GUGAACCUAAUAUAUAAGAUAGACUCAUUACAUGCAAAGCAAGAUGGUACAAGCUGUGAUGUGGCAUAAUUGAAAUGAUUAGGGCUUACAGCUCAUGAAAACCCCAAAUCCACAAUCUCAGAAAUUUAGAAUAUUACAUGCAAUUAAUAAAAC